rnacentral:rRNA from 1 species
ACCCGCUGAACUUAAGCAUAUCAAUAAGGCGGAGGAAAAGAAACUAACAAGGAUUCCCCUAGUAACGGCGAGUGAAGCGGGAAUAGCUCAAAUUUGAAAUCUCACAGGGUUACCUGUGCGAAUUGUAGUUUAGAGAAGCGUUUUCGGGGGCGACUUGGGUAUAAGUCCUCUGGAAAGGGGCAUCAUAGAGGGUGAGAAUCCCGUUUAUGGUCCAAUGUUCGCUCCUAUGUGAUACGCUUUCCAAGAGUCAGGUAGUUUGGGAUUGCUGCCUAAAAUGGGUGGUAAAUACCAUCUAAAGCUAAAUAUUGGCGAGAGACCGAUAGCAAACAAGUACCGUGAGGGAAAGAUGAAAAGAACUUUGAAAAGAGAGUUAAACAGUACGUGAAAUUGCCAAAAGGGAAACGCUUGGAACCAGUAUUGCUUGCAGGUAAUCAGCCGCACGUCCCGCAAGGGUCGCGUGUGGUGCACUUGCUUGCAGGCAGGUCAGCAUCAGUUUGGCUCGAGGUAAAAAGCCGGAGGAAGGUGACUUGGGCUUCGGUCUGAGUGUUAUAGCUUCCGGUCAUGCCCCGAGCUGGACUGAGGUCUGCAGCGUUUUUGGGAUUCCAGAUCGCCUUUCGAAGCUUGCGUCCAGACAGCAUGCUGACUGGAUGUAAGUCUAGGGAGCUCGGUAGGGUUCAUCACUCCAACGCUUAGGAUGCUGACGAAAUGGUUCCAAACGACCCGUCUUGAAACACGG